GAUGUAGCUCAGUGGUGGAGCGUGUGCUUAGCAUGUGCAAAGCCCUGGGUUCGAUCCUCAGCAUC
rnacentral:tRNA from 1 species